GCCUCGGGGGUCCAGCUCGAAGCCUUUUACAAAACGAUACAACAGACGUCCUCAAACUUUUUUGGACGAAGUACCAUUUUGGAUCAAACCAAAGCAGUCAGGUACUUCAUAAGUACCACAUAACAGAGAAUAUGAAAUAUAUCUUAAUAAACCUGGAACGAUUAAUUGUUUUUAUCAAUUCGAUUCAAAAGGUAUCAUUGUUGACACAACAAUGAAAUAUGUCCUCUGCUUUUAAGCCAUAUGUGAGAUAGCAGCGGACAGCUAAUCCAGCACCAAGGGAGCAGUACCUCACUCAGGGUGCCACAGCUUUACUUUGCUGCUUGGGGAUUUAAACCAGCACUUUUUCAAUUACAAGAAGCUGCCCGAAACAUUCAGCCAGCACUGCACACCAAAAUGCUCACACCUCCUCCUCGGGAAAUCAAAGCAAUACAGUUAAAGAGGAUGUACAAAAAAAACUGACAGAAUCACCCCCUGGGUUAUGGGCCCAGCACACUUCCACCGUACUACUACUAACAAAGCCUGAGUGCGAAAGGACUCGAACCCACAAACUUCUGAUCCAAAGUCAGAUGCCUUAUCCAUUAGGACACACAAUCAGCACAUCAUAAAAGGUUUUAAAUUUCUACUUUUUUUCAGUGCACACAACGAAGUACCAUGUUCAUCUUGCACACCGCAUGGGGGCACCACAGUUGAGAACCACUGCAACAUAUUGUGUAAAUAGUUUAUUUCCUCAUGCAGGAAGGCACAGAAUGGGUCAGAGUAGAUUAGGUGUCCUGGUUGAAAGAGGGUGGACCAGUCUCUCAAGGUGUCCAUAGAUAGCCACAGGUCCCACUGCAUGUGCUCUGAAACGAUGUUCUGCUUGUUCGGCCAAGUGCUGAUAAACCAUACCCUACUCUACUAUGUGAGACAGGACAUGAAACAACUUACCCUUUAAUCCCGUCAAGACAACAGUAUUUUUCAGGAAACGUAGCAACUGAUUGACAGAGCCCAGGACACGGCUGGGGUCACAUGCCACUUGCUCCACCACAGCCAGAUCCACCCCCACGCUCAGAUUUGGCACUGUGCUUAAAAGGACCGCUCCCAAGAUGUAACGGACACACUCAGGCAUGCAGUCUGGGUAAAAAUGCAGGCCGACGGUCUGCUUAUAUAUGAACAGGGAUAGCAAAGCAAAGCUAAUUGCCAUUCAGAGUCUCAGUGACUUCUCAAAGCACCGGGUCAGACCCUAAUUACUGUGUCCCUUACAGAAAUACUUCGGUCAGCUGGCUGGCGUGAGAUUUUCAAUUCGAGGCAAGUCUGCGCACCCAUUAACAGGCAUGUAACAUUUUUAUUACCUUGUAAAUAGUCUGUAGGGUUUGCAAACUACCCCAUCGCUUUUGAUGUUGCUAAUUUUAGGCUUAUAAUGGAAUAAUAUAGAUUUGCCGUAAAAUUUCUUGCGUUUUAGCCUGAAAGCUCGAGUGUCAUGCGUGAGAGCUGGCAACCCCGGGUCACCGUGAACUGAACGCUGCAGAUGCCUUUAAUCUCGUUUACCGCUUUCGUGGAUAGUAAAGUAAAAUAAUGAGAUCUGAAACUAAUAACACAGUGCAGUACACUGGAUCCGGAAAAGCAGUAUUUGGAAACGUCUUUAAAAUGAUUUACGUGGCAUCCUAGGGACAAAACCACACGAUGAAUUAUUCAUUAUGCUUAGAAUCUUUGAAAAGCACCGUCACCAAUGAAAGCUCCCAUUUUUGUCCAAGUGAAAUGCGUUUGAUUGGAAAAAUGAAAACCACAUGCAAAAUAAAAAAAAAAAACGGCAGAAGAUCAACCUCAAUGGAAUUCAAGCAUUUUAUGAGUACAGAUCAACCAGCGCGUUUUUAUAGAUCCUGAACACAUCGAUUAUGCUGCCUACAGGAUUCAAAAAUAAAUGCUGCCCCCUUGUGGAUUUAUAUUGAACUAAAUAGGAAAGGAUGGAUUAUUUAAAAAAACAAAAAAAAAACGAUGCGUUAUUUUAGUGACUGCAAUCCCAUAUUGUAAACCAUUUAUUCAUCGUUUGACUCAUUUCUCUAACUGCACACUCUGCCUUUGCUAAAAAAGCCUUGGUAUCGAACCUAAAAUAGAGAGAACAGAGGCCGUUCUCAGCUUAACCAGUGGUCAGGUAAAUAGGGCAAAUAUGCUGGUUAUGAAAACACAAUUAAAUUGAGAAGGCAGAUCCAAACAUCUUAGGUAGAAAUUAUGCCAAUGCACACCCACGAUUCUUAAACAGGUUUAAUUAAACUCUUUUAAAGAGCACAUAGAAUAUUCAGAAAUCAAGAACUGGCCUUCAGGCAGAUCGACACAGCAAGUCCAGGCCGCAUACAAGCAGAUCUCUGCACACUAAUGCAAUCCGGGCCCGUGGCACUAUCAAGGCAGCUGGCCGGCAAAACGGUGGAAGAAGCAGUUGCCAUCUGUCAAAGCCUGACGAGGUGCUCAGGGGGGGCCGGGGUCGACUCCAACUGGAACUGCUGCAGCUGGAUAACAUUCAGCGCAACACAGGGCCCUCACCCGCAGCGGGAUCUGGCCUGCACACAAAACCACCGCCCAUUUGUCCCACGCUUCUACAUGACAACAAGAGGCAGGUUUAGCCUGAAUGAGGAUGUAUGGUUUUUAAAAUAACACCUACGGCACCGCAGCUCAACAGGAGGACUCUCCAUGUUGGCUGGAGCGGGGAGAGUGGUGAUUCAUCAGAGAACAUCUGGAGAAGGUUGUUGUGGUGCCUCCACAACAUUGCAGUGCUCCACUCAGUCAGGAUGCUGAAGACCCUCCACCGCGGACCUGUACAGUGUGGGCUUAGUACAGACAUCCGAUCCUGGACAGGGGAAGCACCCGGGGUUCAGCUUGGAGUCACUGAGAGGAUUUAAGAGAUCGCACAGUGGUCCUGGAUGCUGAGGCAGCUGGCAUGUCAAACUCCACUUCCAGGUGGCGGUGGAACUUGGUUGGGACCUCCCAGUCAGACCCCAGCUCCAGACGACAGAAGAAGGUGUGGGGGUGACCCAGAGCUGGAGAACAUUGGAGAGAAGGGUUACCAGGAUCAAGGGCAGGGAAGCUGGAUGGUAUAGCUGCACAAAAUGACGCUUCAUGAACCAUUCGCUGUAUUUUCUGACCCCACUAGAUGGAGCUCUCUGCUCAAAAAAAGGGCCCAAAGCAAACCAAGAGCAUAUAUAUAGCAAUAUAGCAAAUGCUUCAUGAAGUGUCAUUUCGUGCAUCACUACUGGAUGAAUGGAUGCCCUGCGUGCAUCUCAGUAAGGAAUCAAAGUCUUAUUUUAAGGGAAUGAGGCCAAGUGUUGGAGAGAUACAAAUCUACCAGACUGUGCUGGGUGAGAUAUUUUUGGUAGAAAAAUACCAAGCAUUCCCGGGUGCGUUACCUGGAGGACAGGAACCUACUGGCCCAAAGUUAGAGUGAAGAACAAAAUAUACGUUAGGAUAUUCUAACGGAGUAGAAUAUACUGGGUCAGUUAUACUGAAGAGCAGAACAUACUGCUUGGGAUAUCCUAACUGGACAGAACAUAUGGAGUCCAAAUGCACUCAACAUGACAUCUUGUUCCUUUAUGUUCCUCCAUCUCCUAUGGCUGUGAGGCAGCCAUUAAUGUGCCUGCUGGUUUAUAUUUCAGGUCAUGAGAUUCAAGGGUGCCAUUAUAUUACAGCGCAGAUCCUCAAAACUCACCAGCAAAGUAGUCAAAGGUGACUUGUGUAAGCUUCCAGGAUGGCCUCAUCCUAGGCCAAUCUGAUGGCCGACAUGUCGUCAAGCGAGAUCGUGGGCAGUAAGUUAAGUGCUAGACGACACUUGGACUCUCAGCAGAUAAGCUGGAGAUAUGCAAUCAUGCGCGAUCAAAGUACCUCACAGAUGGUGAAGAACAUUUUCUACUUUUUUUUUUUUUUUACGUGGAACUAGAACGUGAAACGUAGGCCUCACAGGAUAUGUUCUGCCAGGAAAGGCAUAAAAAAAAAAAUCUUACAAAAACAUAGCUGCUAAUCACACUCAGGAGUGAACCACCAAUCGGCAAAAAGUUGAUGAAGGGUAACAGUUGCCUUUUGUCCAAUCACACACUAGACCAGGGGUGGGCAAUAUUAUCCAGAAAGGACCGUUCUGUAUGUGGGUUUUCACUGCAAGUCCUUAAUUAGAUCACUAAUUAGAGGACUGAUUGGCUGAAGAGUCCUCACACCUGGAUUUGAACAGCUGACCUAAAGGUUAUCCAAGAGACCUGCAUACACACCGGCCCUUUGCGGAUAAGACUGCCCACCCCUGGACUAGACCCUGGCCUUUUGCCUGUCUAAUCACACAGCAGAGGCCUUGGCCCAUUGACCUGGAAGUAAAAACUCACAAGGCAGUGAUUUAUGUGAAACUGAAGAUUAGAACCGGUUCAGGGUAGACUGCUCCUCUCCUUCUUGCUCCAUCAGUAACACAAUACAUCGUUGUCACUACUUCAUUCAUAAAAAAAAAUUACAACAAACCAUCCAUUUUCUGUAUCCUCUUAUCCUAACUAAGGUCGCGGUGGUCUGGUAACCGUCUUGCAUUUUCACAUGUAUCCUCUGAUUUUAAGCACACAGCACUGUAACCUUGAACAUUACUGGUGACUUCAUGAAGACGGACCACUGUAGUAAGUAAACAGGGUGAUCAGCAUGGUUUUAGCAGAACUGGUUCAUCUGCCCUACCUGAAUUCUUAUCAGGGAGAGAGUUUAUCCUCCACACCACAGCCCUGAAGGCAUGCUCAUAUUUGGCUGUCCCCAGCGUGACCCGCAUGGCUGGCUCCUGCCCUGAUGUGAUGGUGGACCCAAAGUUGGCCCCCUUGUUGAAGCGAGCUUUCAGAGACUUCUCGCCCCCCAGGCUUUCCCGCCUGAAGUUCUUGGCCCAGAGCUGGGGGAUGGGAUAGCGGAUCAUCACAUUCUCACAGGGGAUCAAAGUGAGGGGAUCCCGGUUGGAGGAGAAUCCAGUUGACAUUGCCAGCCAGGACUGCAGCUCUACCUCCGCGCCCUUGACGCUGGCCACCGUCCUCAGAGUGAAGGGCAGGCUCUUCUCAGCAAAGAGCGAACAGAAACGGAGCAGCUCGAACCUGCGACCUGCCGGGGGUGUGAAGGAAAUCGUUCUGGUGCUCGUGAACUCUUGCUUGUCUGCGCUACUGUGCAGCCGGCAGUCUCGGAGUCGGACCCAGCGUGUGGUGGUGUUGGGGAUGAUGUCAUGCAGGGAUACCACCUCGUUCCCUUUCACCUGGACGUCGUUGAGGCCAAUCUUGCAGGCUGGUGACCCCGACGCAAACGCCAGCACAUAAAUGUGGGUCAUCACCAGCUGCUGCACAAUCCUGCCAUCGGCCUUGGACACAACACCAUGGAACUCAUCUCGUACAUCCACGAAGACCUCCUCCUCCUGGUAGGAUGGGGAACUGCUUGGAGACUCUUGUUCCACAGGCAGCAGCAUCAGCACAUCCCUCAGGGCAUGGGUGAAGCUCAGGAAGUCUGAGUAGUUGACGGUGCCCAGUUUCACCAGCUGAUCCUUGGCAGGGGCAUGCACCACGGUUACCUUGGACUGGAUCUUGCGUUUCUCCUUGUAGGUGACGUGAUCGAUGCUGAUAGUAUGCACCCGGUCACUUUCGUUGUAGCUCUGAAGCUUAUGCUCGGAGAGCUCAUGUCGGCCGUCUAGCUGAAACUCCUUGAAGGGCUUCUCCAGACCCUUCUCAUAGAAGAGCUGCAGCCGCCCGGCGUCAGACACCUUCACAAAGAUGGGCCCCCAGUGCCGGGACGACAUGAUGUUCUUUUUCUCUGGGAUGCGCAGCAUCAUGGGCCAGCCAUCCCGUGGGGUCAUGUGGGCCGGCUGAUACGGUGGCUCCUCCAGCUCCCCAGGCUCCACAGGGUCGUCCGGCAGCAGGGCGCUCUCCUGCUGAUCUGAUUCUACCAUCCACAAGCUUUGCCCACCUCUCUCAGAGGGGGGCCAGGGCAGGACACCUCCUCUAGCUGGGGUGUCCAGCUCAGUUGACAGGGGUAACAGGGAUUCCCUUUUAAUAUCUGCGGUGCUAGGAGGGACUGGAGGAGAGGUGCAGGACUGCUGGGUGUUCUCUAGAUAGCAGCCAUUGUUCGGUGUCACCUUGGCUUCUACUUGCUCCUGGAAAAAGUCAACGAAAGGGUUGAUUGGAGAUGGCUGCACAUGUGAUAGACCCUCGUCCAGGAAGGGGUUCUUCAUGCUGGGCAAGCCAAUGCUCAACGGGGGACCGUCCAAGGCGAAGAGAGGACGGACUCCUUCCGGUGUCAGGUCCAGGAGGUGCUGUAUUGCAUCUCGGGUCUGGACAGAAGGGGGAGAGGCUACGGGGUUCCCAUCGACCUCCGACGUGGAGCUGUCAUCGUGGUUGGACUGCGGCAGGCCGCCAGGACGGCAGAAAAUAGGUCCGUCGUCAUCGAAGGUCACCCAGCUGGCAAGGCGGGCCACGUGGCUCUCCGAUUGGCCGUUCACGUGCUUGGGGGCCGGUGGCCAGUUCUGUGAUUCCAUGUCUAUGCCCUCAUCUUGGAAGGUGGAAGAGUCUACAAAUCAAAGACAUGGGCAUAUUAGAAACCGCUAUAAACUAACCUGGACAAUAACAAUUUUCAUUGGGAAUUAAAAAUGAUAAUCAUUAUUAUUCUCCUUAUACGCUCUGGUGCCCCCCAGCCACUACUUGCUGUGUUUGCAGGUUGCCCCCCCCCCCCCCUUUGCCGGGCUGGGUGUGGCGCACACACAGACUGCCUACGCGACACGUGAACCAGACCAAGGCAUGGUUCAUUUUGGUUCCUGCGCCUAGUGCCGAUUUUUCGCUGACUAAGGAGGUCCUUUCAACAAUAUGUGGGAGAUUCCGGACCCUUGCCUGGGCAGCGGCUACAUGGAGACACCAUAACAGGCCGCGCUGAAAACGUGAAGACAGGAGCUGGCCGUCGAGAUGCGUGACGGGGGCCUUUAACUGACAGCACAGGUGUGGUUCUGGGCUGGGGGCAGGGGGCAGCAGGGGGUCACCCUUUGAUAAACAUUGUGACAGCCGUACUGCAGGGCUGCAAGACCGAUCCACAAGCCUGCUGGCCUCCCAGGACAUGGCAUGUGAGCACAGAGAGCACAUCUUCUCGGCUGAACCUCAGCGACUCAUGGGGGUUUUGAUAAACAAGCUCAGAGCCACCAAAUCCCACAGCCGCUUGAUAUUCCUGCCGGCAAUGACUGGCAGCUCAGGACCACACGCCCUGGCAGGCUGGAACUCAGAUCCAACACCAGCUGCCGUGUCCCUUUAACAGCGCCAUCAGGCCGGCUUCCGCAGGCCCGCCCUGGGCCGCUCAGUCUGCAAACAGGCAUGGUUCCUCCUUCUGACACAACAGGCCUGAUGACAACAUCCUGAGGCCUUACCGCUUCCAGCAUAAACACUGGGCUAGCCUACUGGUCUGAGACUCACUCGAUGACAUCAUCUCAGAGGGGAUCACAGCACAGCUGCUGGGUUCUCAGGCCGCAGGAAACACGAGGAAAAGGGGGGGGGGGGGGGGCAGGUUCUGAUGGAUCCACACCCUCAACCCCAAACCUAACCCCUAAAUCCAACACAGAACACAUCAUAACAAAACAAAUGCUGUGGCUCCAUUUCCAUGGCAACAUCGCUCUACGGCAGCGAGAGUGAGGGGAGGACAUAGGAGGCCAUGAGAAACACAUCCAGCAACCUGCAGUCCUGCAAGUCCUCAUCACCGGGUCACCAGGGAGUUACCUCAGGACCCUGCUCUCUGCAUCAUGGGACUAACAGUCACGUUUUAGGGUGCAUUUCCACUGCACCAGGUACCGUUCUUUUUGUACUUCAAAAUGCAAAAUGUGGCUGUACUAAAUUAUAGGGCUGGACAGUGUGAGAUAAUACUAACAUGGCAUAUUAGACAUGUGCGAGAGUCAGCCGGUGUGAGAUCAGGCUUUUCCAUGCCUUCAUACUGUACGGACAUUAUAGGGCGCGGGGUGUAAGUUUUACUAAAACAUUUUUACUUUGCCACCAAAAACAAAACUUAGCAAGGCAGUGCAAUUUUAAUGAUCGUUCAUUUUCAAGAUUAUCUAAUGCAGGAGUGGGCAAUCUAAUCCACAAAGGGCCGGUGUGUGCAGGUUUUUGGGAUAACCUUUAGGUCAGCUGUUCAAACCCAGGUGUGAGGACUCUUCAGCCAAUCAGUCCUCUAAUUAGUGACCUAAUUACGGAGUUGCAGUGAAAACCUGCACACACAGCGGCCCUCUGCGGAUAAGACUGGACGCCCCUGAUCUA